AACCAUAGAAACCUGCGGAGUACCUGCGGAGGGAUCAUUAACGAAUUUCAAAGUCGACCCCUCCUGUGCUGGUGGAGACACAUAUGUGCACGUUUGGGUCGCAAAUCCACACACCUGUGCAUACCUGACUCUGAGCACCUCUCCCUUCCUGUUGGGAGCCACUUUGACUCCGGUCGAAUUGGUGCUCGAGUAUUUUCACACACUCGGAAUGUAAAGGAAUGUCUGUCGCGCUUAACGUGC
rnacentral:misc_RNA from 1 species